AUUGAACGCUGGCGGCAUGCCUAACACAUGCAAGUCGAACGGCAGCACGGCAGUAGCAAUACUGUGGGUGGCGAGUGGCGGACGGGUGAGGAAUACGUCGGAAUCUGCCCAGUCGUGGGGGAUAACUAGCCGAAAGGUUAGCUAAUACCGCAUACGACCGAGAGGUGAAAGCGGGGGACCGCAAGGCCUCGCGCGAUUGGAUGAGCCGACGUCGGAUUAGCUAGUUGGUGGGGUAAAGGCCCCACCAAGGCGACGAUCCGUAGCUGGUCUGAGAGGAUGAUCAGCCACACUGGAACUGAGACACGGUCCAGACUCUUACGGGAGGCAGCAGUGGGGAAUAUUGGACAAUGGGCGCAAGCCUGAUCCAGCAAUGCCGCGUGUGUGAAGAAGGCCU
rnacentral:rRNA from 1 species